ACCUCUGCCCGUGUUCAAGAGGUAGGAGAUGUUUUCUUUCUGUCAGGUAUAGCCUCCCUCCAUCAACCCACAAUUUUAUCUUUUUGUACAGAAUCCAGCGUGGGGAAUCUGCAGCUGUGUGACGAUAGCAUUUGUAUCUCCCAGGAAUCUCUCUCAACUCCAGUUAGGCUUUUCCUGACUUUAGUCCUGGUCAUAUGGGUAGUGUCUAGUUCUUUCUCAGUAUGUAAUUCAUAUUCAUGCACAACCUCCCUUCUCUUCACAUCUGCAGCCGAGGGCCGUGAGCGCAAACACGGUGAAAAAUUACGGCAAAAGCUGAGCUCAACCUUCUCAAAUACAUCCGCCAUGGUGUUCCUCCAAGAGAUCCAUUUUGCCCUGAUAUGCAGUCUGGAGAUUUCACAGAAAAAUCAAUAAAGCAGAACACU
ensembl:lncRNA